GUUUGUAUUAUUAGCUAGCAUGGUCAGGUGGGGAUGCCCACUUUAUGUCUUGUAAUAGUCAGAGUCAGUCAGAGUGCUUCCUUUAUCACUACUUUCCAAAAGAAAGAAAAACUGUUGAAGCACGCGUCAAAAUAAGUUUGAAAGAAAAUUAAUAACGCAUGUGACGAUGGGGCCCAAAGUGUACCCGACUUACAUUAUUAAAGUU
rnacentral:lncRNA from 1 species